AUUGAACGCUGGCGGCAGGCCUAACACAUGCAAGUCGAGCGAGUGGCGGACGGGUGAGUAAUGUCUGGGAAACUGCCUGAUGGAGGGGGAUAACUACUGGAAACGGAAGCUAAUACCGCAUACCAUCGGAUGUGCCCAGAUGGGAUUAGCUAGUAGGUGGGGUAACGGCUCACUUAGGCGACGCGCCCUAGCUGGUCUGAGAGGAUGACCGGCCACACUGGAACUGUGACACGGUCCAGACUCCUACGGGAGGCAGCAGUGGGGAAUAUUGCACAAUGGGCGCAAGCCUGAUGCAGCCCUGCCGCGUGUAUGAAGAAGGCCUUCGGGUUGUAAAGUACUUUCAGCGGGGAGGCGUUACCCGCAGAAGAAGCACCGGCUAACUCCGUGCCAGCAGCCGCGGUAAUAC
rnacentral:rRNA from 1 species